CCGAAAUUUUGUACAGUAAUUAAAAACCCAACAAAUUUUUCAUCCAUCAAUUCAAAAUACGAUUAAAGCUUUUAAAUUUCACGUGCAAGCCAUUUUUAGUUUGUUAGAAAAACACCCCCCACCCCUGGUUUACAAAAUUUGAGUUUGAGAAUUUUUUUUUCAUAAUUAUUCUACAUUAUAUUAGUACAGUGAGGGCCGUAGCUAGAACGAUAAUUG
rnacentral:lncRNA from 1 species